rnacentral:lncRNA from 1 species
GGAGGCUCCGAGAGAGAAGACGUGGAGGGAGGGACGGAGCCAGGACAGCGGUGGACCCGGGCCGCGCGCGCUCCAGGCAAAGAGCAGCGCGCAGCAGGCGCCGGGCACCGAGACGGGAGGCACGGGUGAUCUCUGGCCGUCCAUGCACAGAGCGCCCUCUCCCACAGCGGAGCAGCCACCUGGCAGAGCGGAUAACACCCGCCGGACCCCACAACCCAGAGUCAAGUUAGUGGGCAAAAGGAGGUGGCAGGGAGUGGAGAUGGGUGGAGUUGGACUCCCGAAUGGGGGUCUAGGGGGUGGGGGUCGAAAAGAGGACGUGGAGAAUCGGGAGGUGGGAGGUGGAGACUGAUAGAAAAGGGGGGGUGAGUAUUCGAAUUGGGGGAUCCUGGGAGCAAACAAAGACCCAAUGAGCCUGGUUACGAUAGAGUACUGCCUCAUUUUCCAUUCCAGGUUUACUCAGUGGGCAUAACCUGGUACGUGAGGCCCUACAAAGACUGUCCCCCAGCGCCAGGGAGAGCUCCAGAGCUUGAUCUGUCAACAGUGAGGGGUGGGGGAGCUUAGCUGUCUUAGUGUGUCAUUAGCCGGCAGCGCACCACCCCUAGGUCUGGGAGAAGGUGGUUCCUUUGAGUUAAGCAUCUGUGGGCCUGAAGGGGGUGUGCUUCAGGCCUCCCUUGUCAUGAAAUGACCAUUCACUGAAUGAGGAGGGGUAGCCCCCGCAUGCAGCCCCUUCCUCAAGAGGCCUUCAGUCUCUCUCGCA